CAGCCGCCACGGGAAUACGAAGGGGGCUAGCGUUGUUCGGAAUUACUGGGCGUAAAGCGCACGUAGGCGGAUACUUAAGUCAGGGGUGAAAUCCCGGGGCUCAACCCCGGAACUGCCUUUGAUACUGGGUAUCUCGAGUCCGGAAGAGGUGAGUGGAAUUCCGAGUGUAGAGGUGAAAUUCGUAGAUAUUCAGAGGAACACCAGUGGCGAAGGCGGCUCACUGGUCCGGUACUGACGCUGAGGUGCGAAAGCGUGGGGAGCAAACAGGAUUAGAUACCCCUGUAGUCCUUGUCUCUUAUAC
rnacentral:rRNA from 1 species